rnacentral:rRNA from 1 species
GAAUGGCAUCACGAGGGUUACACUGUCUCCCCCUUCCAAUCAGUGAAACUAAUCUCCCCGUGAAGAAGCGGGGAUAAAUAUAUAAGACGAGAAGACCCCAUGGAGCUUUAAACUCAAUAUCAACUGCCACCACACACACCAUAUUAAACAGGCAGAUCAUGACUAUUAGUUUUCGGUUGGGGUGACCGCGGAGCAAAACAAAACCUCCACAAUGAAUGAUUUACCUCUAAUCUAAGAGCCACAACUCCAAGAAUCAAUAAAUUGACAUAAAUUGAUCCAAAUUAUUUUGAUCAACGAACCAAGUUACCCUGGGGAUAACAGCGCAAUCCAUUUCAAGAGCUCCUAUCGACAAAUGG